rfam:Salmo salar isolate Sally breed double haploid chromosome ssa01, whole genome shotgun sequence.
CCUCGGGGAACAUUCAACGCUGUCGGUGAGUUUGAGCCUCUGACAGAAACCAUCGACCGUUGACUGUACCCUGAGG